UACGUAGGGUCCGAGCGUUGUCCGGAAUUACUGGGCGUAAAGAGCUCGUAGGUGGUUUGUCGCGUUGUUCGUGAAAACUCACAGCUCAACUGUGGGCGUGCGGGCGAUACGGGCAGACUAGAGUACUGCAGGGGAGACUGGAAUUCCUGGUGUAGCGGUGGAAUGCGCAGAUAUCAGGAGGAACACCGGUGGCGAAGGCGGGUCUCUGGGCCGUAACUGACGCUGAGGAGCGAAAGCAUGGGGGGCGAACAGG
rnacentral:rRNA from 1 species